UUCUGGGUAUAAGUAUAUCCCAUGCAAUAUUUAGGAUAUACUUAUACUAAAA
rnacentral:pre_miRNA from 1 species